GAUGAACGCUGGCGGCGUGCCUAAUACAUGCAAGUCGAGCGGUAAGGCUUCUUCGGAAGUACACGAGCGGCGGACGGCUGAGUAAUGCAUAGGAACGUACCCCAAACUGAGGGAUAAGCCACCGAAAGGUGGUCUAAUACCGCAUGUGCUCUUCGGAGUAAAGCUGCGGCGGUUUGGGAGCGGCCUAUGUUCGAUUAGCUUGUUGGUGAGGUAAUGGCUCACCAAGGCGACGAUCGAUAGCGGGUCUGAGAGGAUGAUCCGCCGGACUGGAACUGAGACACGGUCCAGACUCCUACGGGAGGCAGCAGUAGGGAAUUUUCCACAAUGGGGGCAACCCUGAUGGAGCAACGCCGCGUGCAGGAUGAAGGCCUUCGGGUUGUAAACUGCUUUUCUCUGUGAUGAUUAUGACAGUAGCAGAGGAAUAAGGAUCGGCUAACUCCGUGCCAGCCGCCGCGGUAA
rnacentral:rRNA from 1 species